GACGAACGCUGGCGGCGUGCUUAACACAUGCAAGUCGAACGGAAAGGCCCUGCUUUUGUGGGGUGCUCGAGUGGCGAACGGGUGAGUAACACGUGAGUAACCUGCCCUUGACUUUGGGAUAACUUCAGGAAACUGGGGCUAAUACCGGAUAGGAGCUCCUGCUGCAUGGUGGGGGGUGGAAAGUUUCGGCGGUUGGGGAUGGACUCGCGGCUUAUCAGCUUGUUGGUGGGGUAGUGGCUUACCAAGGCUUUGACGGGUAGCCGGCCUGAGAGGGUGACCGGCCACAUUGGGACUGAGAUACGGCCCAGACUCCUACGGGAGGCAGCAGUGGGGAAUAGUGCACAAUGGGCGGAAGCCUGAUGCAGCACCGCCGCGUGCGGGAUGACGGCCUUCGGGUUGUAAACCGCUUUCGCCUGUGACGAAGCGUGAGUGACGGUAAUGGGUAAAGAAGCACCGGCUAACUACGUG
rnacentral:rRNA from 1 species